AGCUUGUAACCCAAGUGGGGGCACCAAGGUGAUGGAACAUGGCUCUGGUGUCGUUGGGCUGGGCUGUUAGCUGCAAUAAGUGGCCUGCCCACUCCAAGUUGAGAGUUGGGCCAUGGGGCUUUAGCGAAGGCUCUAGCUUCCUGGUUCCUAAACUGGAGGGCACGGCGUGAGGCUGGUUUCACAGAGCAGCGAUAACCUCCGGCUCCUGACAGUGGAGGGAUAACGGGCCGCUGCACUCUCAGCCCACUACGCCCGGUGAGCCUGGCCUCUUGAACCAUCAU
rnacentral:SRP_RNA from 12 species